rnacentral:rRNA from 1 species
UACGAAGGGGGCUAGCGUUGCUCGGAAUCACUGGGCGUAAAGCGCACGUAGGCGGCUUCUUAAGUCAGGGGUGAAAUCCUGGAGCUCAACUCCAGAACUGCCUUUGAUACUGGGGAGCUCGAGUCCGGGAGAGGUGAGUGGAACUGCGAGUGUAGAGGUGAAAUUCGUAGAUAUUCGCAAGAACACCAGUGGCGAAGGCGGCUCACUGGCCCGGUACUGACGCUGAGGCGCGAAAGCCAGGGGAGCAAACGGG